rnacentral:rRNA from 1 species
CCUANGGGAGGCAGCAGUGGGGAAUCUUGCGCAAUGGGGGAAACCCUGACGCAGCAACGCCGCGUGGGUGAUGAAGGCUCUCGGGUCGUAAAGCCCUGUCAGGUGGGAAGAAACUCAUGGAUGUUAAUACCAUCCAUGCUUGACGGUACCACCGGAGGAAGCACCGGCUAACUCCGUGCCAGCAGCCGCGGUAAUACGGAGGGUGCAAGCGUUGUUCGGAAUUAUUGGGCGUAAAGCGCGUGCAGGCGGUCGGGUAAGUCAGAUGUGAAAGCCUUCCGCUUAACGGAAGAAGUGCAUUUGAAACUGCUCGGCUGGAGUACGGGAGAGGAGAGUGGAAUUCCCGGUGUAGAGGUGAAAUUCGUAGAUAUCGGGAGGAACACCAGUGGCGAAGGCGGCUCUCUGGUCCGAUACUGACGCUGAGACGCGAAAGCGUGGGGAGCAAACAGGAUUAGAUACCCUGNUANUC